UUCCAAAAUUGAGAAACCCUAACCCACUAACCCCACACCCCAGCGCCGUUCCCCCUUCGUUCACCUAAACCCUAACCCACUAACCCCACACCCCAGCGCCGUUCCCCCUUCGUUCACCUUCAGCUUCAUUCCUUAAUAUACACACACACAAAACAAGAGAGAAACAGAAGAUGGAGGAGCUGCUGCCGCUACCGUGCCCAGCCAUCGAGCCAUGCGUCGCUGCCAUUUUUGCGCCGCCACCGUCGUUCUCAUAGCUGCUCCGUGGAGGCCGCAGGGAGGAACGUGAACCAGGAGCUUCCGUGUCGCGCCGCCGAUCUGUCACCAUGCUGCUGCGUCGCCAUUGAUGAAGCUUUUGCUACCGCCGUGAACUGCGAACAGAGGAGAGGGAGAGAGAGGAGUUUGCGAGGGAAAAGAGGAAGCAACGCUGCCCUUCCAUCGCCGCUGCUGCCAAGGUUUGUGGAAGAGAGUGUCGCCGUCGCCGAACCACCGCGCCGCCGUAGCUGUCGCUGGGAAGGUUGUUGGAGCUUGCCGAGGAUACUGUUCUGAUUCUGAAGCAAUUUAUCCAUGUCACUACUCAUCUUUAGCUCCUGUUCUGCCUCUGCCUCUGAAUUCUGCAAGUUGCCGGAGCUUUCUGCCACCGGGAACCAACAUUCGAGCUGCCCAGGAAACCACCAUUAGAACCACUACUAUUUUGCUGCCACCGAGGUCGCUGGUGCUUGUCAAUAGUAUUAUUCUGGUUCUGAAUCGAUUAGUUCAUGCCACUGCUGCUGCUGAGAAGUGAUCAGAAAUGCCGCUGCUGUUGGUUCAGUUCAAGGUUGUUGUUGCCACUGCGAAUUAAAAAUAAAAGAAGGCUUUGUUGCGUUUGAUUAUCGAAUUUCGGCUAGUCGAGUGACACAGGUUUGAAGACACAGUGUGAAUCUGGGGCGAUUGCUAGACCUUAUUUAUGAGUUAAGUUCUUGAUUUGAGUUGCUUUCAUAGAAUUUCCUCGCCCUUGUUACUUUAGUUUUUAUUUUACACAGAGGGAUAGGAUUUGUAUCUAAGUUUUAUUGGAAAUCUUUUGUAUGACAGAUAUUAUUAUUAGUAAUUAUGUG